rnacentral:tRNA from 1 species
AGGCCGGUAGCUCAGCUGGUUAGAGCGCACCCCUGAUAAGGGUGAGGUCGGAAGUUCAAGUCUUCUUCGGCCUACCA